CUGACCAUUACUUAUUAUUUACAGGGAAUUCCUUCAGUUCAACUGGAAAUGUUCUCAGGAAAUUUUCUUAUCAGCGAGAAAAAACCCCCACAAGACUAGAGGUGUUGCACUGUGCUCCAAAAUGUUAUCUGGGUAGACCAGAUCAGGCAAACAACCUGGACGACUUGAGAAAAGCAAGGUGAUGUUCUGUUGACUUCAUCAGAAGAAAAAGAUAUUCAGUGUUUUACAGGUUAAACAGUGAAAUGCACGGGGAGGUCAUGAGACUGGGUGGGCUCUGAUGCUGCCAAUACCUUAUUGAUGCAUCUUAUUGAUUCAGGCUACAUUCUGUAGUAAGAGAAUAAAAAAGAUAUAACACAGAAA